GAGAGAGACUGUGGCAUUCAGAGAAAAUGAAGUGAGUACUUCUGAUCACAUCCUGCUUAGAUUCAGCACUGUAUCACACGUACUGUAUUGCAGCAAAUGCUACAAACCAAAACUCAACUGAAAAUAGUUUAAUUACAUAUCCAAAUCAGAGAAUUGGGAACUGAGUAAUCAACAACAUGCUCUGUAUCUUCAGCAUCUCUUCCGUCCUCCACCUCCUGGUUUACGUGCCUUUUUCUCUUAGCUAUAUUUAUUGUAACAAAUCUAAGAGAUUAAGAAAAACCAAAAGAAAUCACAAAUCUCCUGACACUGUAUUCCAUCUGACAUUGAAGAACUUUUAUUUCCAGUAGGCUGUUCUUUCCUCUUAAGAAUGGCUUUUACCUCCUGAUGUUUCAUUAGGAAAAAAAAGAAAAAAAAAAAAGGCCAAAAACCAUUUUCCUUCCUUUAACCAAAGGGAUUCAAAAAUGAGUAGUCAGUCUCCUAUUAGUAGGAUGCAGCCUCCCAGCUCUGUUGGCCAACAGGGAAUCUAUUCAGCUCGUCCCCACACCUCUUCACGAGCUGCUGCUGCCAGACCUGCAGCCAGAUUACAAACAAAGCAAUUCCUUUCCAAGCAUGUUUUCAAAGACUUUUAUCAUUUUUACAGUAACAGACUUAGUAUUAUAACAUCCUCUCCACUGAUUAUUGAUAGAUUCAUUUGAACACUUAUCAUGCUUAUCUGGAAAGAUAAUCUUGCAUGCAACAGCACAAUGUGGCAAUAGUCAGAGCUCAGAGUUGGCCCCUGGACACAUCUAGAAGGUAUAUGAAUUCAAAUGUGUCUUCUUUUUUUAAAGGCAAGAGUUAACCACUGCAAUGCAGAAUAAGGACUGACAUACAAAGUAGUUACCACAAACCAGCAGCUCUGCAGGGAAUAUUUAUGUACACACUCUCAACUCUUCCUUCUUCCCGUAAAUGCAAGAUAUGCUGCUUUUAAUUGUGUCACACUUACUCCUGGGUAGUAUAGAGAAGCAUACACACACACACAAAGCAAAACAACCACUGAAUGAGGUACAAUGCAUCAAUUUUGAAUUAAUUUGUUUACAAACUGUGUAGCCCUUGUACCUCACCAAUGUGAGUUCUUACACAAGCCGUGCAUGCACAGAUCUAACAGGCCUUUGUUAAUAAACGCAUUCUUAUGUUUUAUGAAACAUCUGUUAACCUGCUACUCUUCUGGAAACUGUCCCUGCAUUAUUCACUGAGCAAUAAUUCUGAUGACUUGUAACAUAAAGAAGGUAAUUAUUUCCAAGUUGCUGGAUUUGUUGGAGAAUUUUUUCACCUCUUAUUUUGUCUUUCACUGGACAAUUCUGGAGUAAAUCUGCAAAUGAUCUCUUAUCAACAGCUGCAUCAGACUUGACACCGUCAGGUUUUCAAAGUGGUUACACUGUGCAGCCACAAGGAGCCUUUUGCUGUUAUUUUACAGUAGGUAACAAUGAAAGAACGAUUAUAUCCACACACUUUGCUCCAAUUAUUAGUGACAACAGCCUGUGCUGGGGAAUGGCUGAUUUUGCUAAGAUUUGUUACCGAAUCCAUUUACAUUAGCUAUCUCAGCUAUGCAAACCAUUCAAAUUGCACUGCCUUUUAAAGUGCUUCACUCAGCACUUCUCAAGAGGUCUAACUACUCAAAAAACCUGUUUCUUUCAUCAUCUCUGGUACUUCACCUAUCAGCGAGUAGUAUAAACUUUAACAAGGAAUAAAAUUAUUAAACAUCUAUUAUUAAACAUGAGACACCUUGGAAGAACCAAGACUGUCUGCAUUAAGUACCAAUCCAGCUUCUUUGAAGGGCUCAGAAGGUCCAUGGAUGAGGAUGGUUUGGUUGAUAAACAUAGCUGAGUUGCCAGCAAGCUUCCAACCGUGUUCCUCAACAAGGCUUUUAAGGAAAGGUCCUUGCAGGGUAGAAGAGCUGUCUGAAGUCUCUUCUUUCUGGUCAAGGUGCUCUCAGUAGACAAAGUUCACUAGCACAGCUCCUCAGACUUGUGGUAGAGCUGUCAGGUUCAGCAUACUAGGAAAAGGGGGUGGACAAGAUUAUGAUAGUUUAGUGAUAUUCAGUGUGGUGAGCAUGAGGGGCAACAGAUUGAACAGGAAUUAACUGGUCAUAAAAUAGCAAGUAGGAUUCAAUGUAGGUAAGUGUAAAAUGAUGUAUAGGCAGAAAAAGCAAUUCUAACUUUGCACAUACCUGCUCCUGCAUGUAUUCAGAGCUGACCAUUAGCACUCAGAAGUAAAACACUGAAGUUAUGAUAGGAAGUUCCUAAAGCAUCAAUUCAAUCCCCAGUAGAAAUUCAAGACUCAAAGCAACUGUCGGGAUUUUUAUUUUUGAUUUACAGAUUGUAUUAUUUACAGAUAUGAUACAAUUUCCAUUAAAUAAGACAGGACUUUUCAGACUGAAAAAAGAGACAACUGGAAGGAUAUAACAGAAGACUGUAAAAUCCCGAGCACCUUGGAUGGUCACUGUUCAUUCUUCUUCCGAUUGAAGGCUGAGGUAACACCCAGUGAAGAUAACAGGCAGUUCAACACAAAGAAAAAGAGGUGGCUCCUCCCCCAGGGGUCAGCUGAUUUCCUGAACUCCUUGCCAAAAGAUGUUGUGAAGACUAGACAAUCUUGCACAGCAAUCUGUCCAAUGUUUGCUAAAUAUACAAAACCCAUAAUCUGCUUGAGAAGUGAAAAUGGUCAGAGGCUAUGAGAACAGUGAACAAAGAAACAUUUAUAUUUUACCUGUUCUUAGGCUUUUAUUAAGGUUACAGUGUCUGCUGGAGAUGGGAUACUGAAGUAGAUGGAACCUGGCUAAGUAUACCAUGGUCACUAUUGCUUUAUAUUCUAGUUACUGCUACAUGAAACAAACUCAGGAGAAGUACAUUGAUAGAAACUGCUCUUUAGCUAGAAUUGCCACCACAGAAUGGCAGGUGGCCCAGUCUAAAACUUCUCAGGGUUAGUCCAACAGAAAUAAGCAACAUCUUGAAUCCCCAAAGAACACACUGUAUCGAUUAUGCUCAGUUGCUUUUGCAUCAUAAAAUUAUCUGCAAGUUGCUCCUUCUUCUGCCACUGGGCCCCAUCCACUUGACUGCUGUCUAUUAAAUAUUCAUAAGCAUUGACAAGAUCCCUCUUUAGCCUUCUCUUCUCCUGGCUCAAUAGCCCCAGGUCUCUCAGCCUCUCCUCAUACAGCAGAUGCUCCAGGCCCUCAAUAAUCUUUGUGGCCUCUGCUGGACUCUCUCCAGCAGUUCCCCGUCUUUCUUGAACUGGGGAGCCCAGAACUGGACACAGUACUUCAGAUGUGGACUCACCAGGGCAGAGUAGAGGGGGAGGAUCACCUCCCUCAACUUGCUGGCCACACUCUUUUCAGAUACCAUUGGCCUUCUUGGCUACAAGGGCACACUGCUGGCUCAUGGACAACCUGCUGACACUCAGGUCCUUCUCUACAGAGCUCCUUUCCAGCAGGUCACCCCCUUGCCUGUACUCAUGCAUAUGGUUAUUCCUCCUCAGGUGUAGGUCUCUGCACUUGCCCUUGUUGAACCUCAUCAGGUUCAUCUCCACCCAACUCUCAAGCCUGUUCAGGUCUUGCUGAAUGAAUGGCAACACAGCAUUCUGGUGUGUCAGCCACUCCUCCCAGCUUUCUAUCAUCUGCAAACUUGCAGAGAAGGCCUUCUAUCCCUUCAUCUAGGUCACUGAUGUUGAACAAGAACAGAUCCUGUACUGGCCCCUGGGGAACACUGCAGGCCUCCAACCAGACUCUGUACCACUGACCACAACCCUCUGGGCACCGCCAGUCAGACAGUUCUCAAUUCACUCCAUUGUCCACUCACCUAUCCCACAUCUCCUAAGCUAACCUAACUCACGGGGACGUUAUGGAAGACAGUGUCAAAAGCCUUGCUGAAGUCAAGGUUCAUAAUGUUCACUGCUCUCCCUACCUCUACCCUGCCAGCCAUGACAUCACAGAAGGCUACCAAAUUAGUCAAGUGUGAUCUGCCCUUGGUGAAUCCAAGCUGACUACUCUGGAUAACCUCCUCUUCUUUCACUUGUUUGUAAAUGACAUCCAGACUGACAAUGGCACUCCUCCAGUUCACAGGCACCUCUCCUGUUUGCCAUGACCUUUCCAAGUUGAUAGAGAGCAGCCUGGCAAUCACCUCUGCCAGCUCCCUCAGCAUUCAUGGGUGCAUCUCAUCAGAGCCUGUGGAUUUGUGUGCAGCAAUUUUGCCUACAUGAUCCCUGACCAGAUCUUCCUUGAUCAAGGGAAGUAUUCUUUUCCCCACUCUCCUUCCUAUCUCCAGGGCCUGAGAUUUUCAAGGGGCAGCCUAAGGUGUAGAAGACUGUAGCAACAAAGGUGUUCAAGAACUCCAUCUUCUCCGUGUCCUGAGAUGGAUGACUGAAAACAGUAUGGAGUAGACAGGAAGAAAUCUAAGCUUGCAUAGUAUUCUUAAGAAUCAGGGAGGUUCAAAACCCAACUUAAAAUCAGGCCCACCAGACAAAAUUUAUAACCCACAAAUCUUACCAUCUUUAAAUGAAUCCAAAACCUUACUCUUGUCUUUUAGAAGAGAAUAAUAGCUUUUGUACGUUCAAAACUUCUCAAUAAGCACAUUGUAUAGUUGGGGUGAACUUUGUGUUACUUAUCAACAAGCAACUCCUACACAUCCAAACUAUCACUGAGCACGAUGCAAGUGCCAGAGCACCCCGCAGGCCCCACGCAAUGAUGCAGCUGAGGCUCAGCUGUUUUGUGCAGCCUGUGUCCCUUGCAUUUGCUGGCACUGCAACACAAAAAAGAAAGGGCACAAGGGGGCGCCUGAGGCCUCAAAUAUCCCAAGGUUUUCACACCCUGUCUUCUCUGCUACAGUACCUCUGUAGUAUUUCCAGUGUCUAAUUCAGAUCAAGAACAGACUGCUCUGAGCAGGAACAGGAGAGGGCACAAAAAAACCCUGAGCAACGCCCUGAGCUGCAUAGAGCCUAACACCAGUUUUGUUAUUGUACUGACAACAUUUUAGACUAUUUUCAUGAUCUGUUAAAGAUUUUAAUCUGUUGUAUAUUACUUUCUCUGAGUAAAAGCAUAGAUUAGUUUACGUAAAAAUAAAAAUCCUAGCAUAGGUGAGAUUUCAAUGGUAGGAAGUAGGAGAAUUAUCUUGAGAAAAAGCUAAGAUGAAAGUCAAAGUUAAAUAUUUUUGUCAAACUCAGCUUGGCAACUGCCCAGACUGUGGACUUUGGCAGAUUGCUCUCUGGUUAUAACAGAAGCCACUUCCUCUGUAGCAAGAGUCAUAUCAACACCAUUGUGUGCUGCCUGGGGACGGGCUCUGGGGUGUUUCAGUCCUCUGGGUGGGACCUUGGAGCUGCAUGUCGCUUAUGUAGAGCAGAGCGACUGGAAAACCAAAGCCACAACCCCCGCAGCAGCAGCCCUAUGGGAGUUCUCCUAUGCAUAUCUGGUUGGGAAAUGAAUCAGGGUAUUUUUCUCCCCACGCUGACCCUGGGAGCUCUGACAACCCUAUUCAGUAGAGAAGAGGAAGGCUCUGCCCGGGGUCCUCUACAGCUGCAAAUGACUCACACUGGAAGAGACCCUUCCAACGAGAUUUAAAGGGACAAAGUCUUCCAGAAGUGUUUCCAAAGUCAUCUUAAUAUGCAGAUUUCUAUCAUUUCAAGCUUUCUGCAUAAUGACUGCUCCUGUUGUACAGCCCAGGCUGGCGCAUGCUGUGCGCUUCAGGCCACAGCAAGAGCAGCAGGCCCAAGCCUACCUGCCCAGAUGUGCUGGGACCUGCCUGCUCCCAGAGAUAUCCCCAUGGAAAAACCACUCCCACACUUGCUGCCUCCUUAGGACAUGCCAGAAGAACAAAUCACACAUUCUGCUCAGUGCCUGCUGCUCUCCUGGUCACCAAAGAACACCAUGCAGAUGGGGCCUUCUCAGUAGGUUCCUCUCACACUCAGUGCCCAGCCAAAGGAGCAAGGAUGUGGCUGACGCUCCUGCUCUGAGGUUGCAUUGCUUUGUUUGCUCCAGAGGUAGGUGGCUUCCCUGCCCAUUCCUGCCUUUCCACAGCUCAACACGGGGUCACAAAGGUUCCAGCUGCUCACUGACAGGAGUUGAAGAUGGACGAUCCUACAAGUCUCUCCUACAGAAGAAAGCAUGAAAUCCUGUUGCCCGCUCCUCCUGCUCUGCUCCACAUUUCCAUACAGAGGCUCACAAAACAGGGGACCCUCCCACGUGGAUUUCAAACAUCCAAGUAGAACCAAAGUCAUCUCACAUGAGGGCCAGGCCUUUCCUGCAGAGGUUGAGGAAGAACAUACAACCAUGCUCCCCCACAGCGGUAUACAAGAAUGACAUCAUUAUGCUAAUAUAUAAGACAGGAAGCACAACCAAGCAUAAAAACCCACUGAAACUGAAUACAUAGGAAACACUGCCAAGAACACUAACGACUGCACUAAACAGAAAAUGAAAUAGUGUUUGGUUCAUCUGACUUCUUCCAGUUUUAGUAAUCUCUAGUGUCACUUGUAACAGUAAAAUCCAGUCCUCAGAGAGGGUGCUCAGGGCCUUUCAACUUCACAUGGAAAAUGAAGGUUUUUUCCAAGGUGAUGGUGACCUCCUAAUGUCUUACUCAGUCUAAAAACUGAUUUCAGUACUUUGACACCAGCCUAAUGACCCAGAUAAAACUGGCUGGGAUUUGCAUGCUGAGUUACACUAGUUCAUUGCCACUGAUAUUAACCAGCACUUUUUGCAUUUUAUUUAUUUAUUUAUUUUUAACUACUACUCUGUUUUACAGAGCAAUGCACUGAAUGCCUCCAAUCUCCUUCAGGAUGGCUUGUGUGCCUAAACAAACCUGUCCAAACCUGUACCAAGACUUGCCUAGACACAAGUGGCACCAGUGUCAUCUCAUCUGAAUGAAAACAUACAAAUAGGAUCAUCUGCACCACACUUGAUUGGUAAGACUUCUCCACAUCAACCCUAGAAAUUUCUAGGCAGAUCCCUGAAGCAAGAAAUCAGUCACAUUUGUGUUCCCUGCCUGUUCCCUCCUUUGGGCCGAGCAGCUGAGAAACUGAGCAGCAGUACCUACAAGAGCACAGCACUCAGCUGCUGGGAGGCAACGCCUUCAACGUCCUCAGCUUUCCAGAGAGCUGUGUAAAACUUAGCAAUAAAACUGUGAAACAAAAUCUGACCACUGACUGCUGACAAAGCAGCAGGUUCCCCAUCCUGCUUCACUUGCACUAGCCCUGGCACUCACGUGACCCCCACGAGAAGCCAAUUCAGAGCUAAAAAGCAUCAACUGGCUGCUAUAAGGAAAGUGAUCAGUUUUCUGCUUAAUCAGCAUGCUCAGUUGAGCGCUCUCACCUGACUGCCAGUGCCACAAUCUAGGUGAACUGGGGAGGAAAGGAAGCUUGCAUUAACCAGGGAAACACAAUCGACUUUGCUGAAUCAUUAAAUGAUGCACUACAUUACUGAACAGGUUGAAAUGAAUUGGUAAAGACUCCCGUAAGGAUAUCUGCUUGGCUUACAACUCGUUAUUACCAAGCAAUUAUGUUGAUUCCACUUAACUCAGCAGCAUGCCCCAUCUGCAGGUUUCAGUUAGGUUUAAUAGUGCACAACCUGCUGAAGCCAAAUGGGCAGCUCUCAGCAGCCAGAGUCGGGGCUCCACUGCCACGUGCCCUCCACUGAAUACACCUCCAAUUUUCCAAGAUUUCUAAAAAGCUCUUUCCCAUAGAAACCAUGUUAAUUUAAAUCAAUGCUAACUGCAGAACUUGGAGCUGAGGUCAUGGAUAUGUGUCUCCUUUGAUUUACAAGACAGAAUCCACUCAGCAUAACAUAAAACACUGCAGCCUUAGCAACGUACCAUUGCCCUCAAAAGCUUGUUCAUAAAACCUCAUUUUCUACAACGUGAACGACCCCACACAGAAAUUAUGAAGUGAAAUACAAGCAGGUGUUGCUGUUAUUAUUCACAAGACGUUUUCAGUUCCCUGAUGUUGGAUCUAUAUGUUCUACCUCAUGUUUGGAAAAUACAGUAAUUGUGUCAUUACUCUCCCUCAUAAUUCAGCAGAUCCUAUAAACCUGGAUGUAUUAAAAAUAUAAUUAAUCUCCUCAAACUUUGGAAAAUCUGAUCUAACAAUCCUGUUUUUUAACACUCGUACAUUUGAAAUAUAAUGAAUAUGUGACUGGUUUAUAUAGAAGAUACAAUGAGAAACAAGCAGCUCUCAGCUUUAAAUAGACUUCAGUACAGAACACCCAGAAGCCACAGGCCUUCCAAAAAAGUUCCAACCUGGAAGAGAAUUCAAGGUCUAGAAUAAUCAGUAGUCCCAUCUGUAGACUAGCAUAACCCAAGGCAGCCUGCUCUCUCACGCACCCCAUACCCACCAGCGUAGCAAACGGGACCCUCCAGAUACGUGAGCUUUGCCCACCUGUGACACCGACAUUACUCCUGAGUGCGGUCACUCCUGGCAACCCCACAGUCGUCUGUGGUGUGAGUUAUAGGCCCUGAAUGUACCACUUUUGAUUUCAUAAAUGCAUUACGCAUUCUGAAUGUUUUGGAAAGAAGUUAACCCAUUCUACCAACAAGCAAAAUGGAACAGCUAUUUUUAACUUCAAAUAAUUCUUUGCUUAGACUAAUGUAGGGUGUACGCAGGUGCAUGAAAUCACCACUUCUGAGCAGGGCAGGAACUGGGCUGGUUUCUCUGCUCACAGGGCCGCUCAGUACAGAACGAGAAAGCAGAGUUGCAGGCUUCGGUUUCUUCAGAAAACAGAAUUCUUACUGCUGAAUUUGUUCAAAGCUUCACACUAAGGCCAACUGCAAUGAGUGUAACAGUUUCUCUUCAGAGUCACCCCUGAAGAAAGGUAAUGGAAAAAACACAUAACCACGCUGAGUCUCCGAGGCACGAGUCUGCAUUCUGUCCUACGCAGACCAUGAAAUCAACACUCCCCACUAACGGUCAUCAGCAACGUGACCCCAGCCAGCCUGGAACACACGUAUGUGAACUGAUGAACUCCUAUUGUCUUAAGGAGCAUUUCUGGCUGUAGCCUCUGAGGACUGAAGUCUCCACACUGUCGUACAAAGUGGUACCUCUAGAAGCUGACACAAGGCCAUCAGAUUCUGAAGUCUCACUAUGAGCACAAGGUGACUUCUACCACCAGAACCAUUGCCGGGGUGACAACUAACAUCCCCUGGCCAGAAAGAAGGACAAAAGACACUUGAGAUUCAUGGUUUUAUUUUUAAAUGUGAAAGAAAAUACGCUGAAAGGAACAAAGUCUGAAGGUUCUGUACCUUGAUAUAUCUCAUGCUGCAUAAUCCUACUAAGCAGCAACCACAGAGUGAAUUGGCAGGGCCAGCACCAGCUGCAGACCAUGAGGGAGCAGGACUGGGAAUGCUCCUCACUGAGGCUGAUGUAAUGUUUUGACUCAACAGAGAACCCGAGAGCGAUCAAACUACAGACUGAAGUUGAGGAUGAGCACUUUCAACAAACAGGCUGGACAGGACCACACAAUCACUGAGAUAAUCACCUUAUUACCCACCAAUAUAACUGCUGUUCGAAGAAACACAGAUGUAAAAAAACCCAGCCACUUAUCCAGGAACAUACUGCAUGAACACACUGGGCCACUUCAGCAGUACUGUACAGUCACUGCUGGAUAUAGCCCACUGCAGAUUUUUGGCAGCUAGCUCCCUGCCACGGGACCAGUCAUUUCCUACUACGUGCAGACACAGAAAAGACACAGAAAUGGUGAGUUCCCCUUACUCGUAAUCAGGUGAGCCCUUCCAAAAAUACAGCGAAGGGGGUCUGCUGUGCCAGCUAUUCAGGAGAACAGUGUAUACCCCAGGACAGGGGCAGGCUGUACACCCUGCCAGCGUCAGAGCUGGCUCACUUGGAGGAGCAGUGCCAGGCCCUGGCCAGGGAUGGGGCCAGCAGCAGCCAGGCUGCAGCAUGCAGCAGCUCCACAUGAGAAAGCAAAUCUUGUCCUGAGGGAACUUCUGUUUACUUGAAUGCCUUCCCUUAUAAUCCCAUUUUAUGGGCCACAUGUUUGGGGAAUGCUGAACAGUCAGGAGACUGGCAGCAACUGGAGAGAGGUGAUUCCUUUCAGAGGACCGCUGUAAAGCAAAAUACAGUCUUGAAUAUUCCCCUGGCAGGCCUGUGCUCAACAGCAUUGUAACUGAUAUUUUGGUCUUAAACACAUACUGAACUCUACCAAGCAACAUCAGUGCUUGGUGUUUUUAUUCAGUGUGUAUAUAUAUGUAUGUAUACACACACACACACACACACACACUGAAUAAGAUUUAAAAUUCAUCUUGAAACACUUUUUCCUGUUAGAAAAUGUUACAUGACAAACUGCACCUCACCUUUUAAAAAUAUAUUCUCCAAGAUGAUAGCUUAGGGGAAGCAGGGAAAAAAAAAAAGGCUGAGUGAGUACUGUGAGUACUCAAUAGCUUCCUUCUUCAUGGGUAGGCCCAGUUAACUCGUAGGUAGAACAGCACAGAUCUCAGCACUGUGGGAUAUGAGACCCAGACACCCCAUCCUCCUUUUACAUUAGCAAGUGAGCAGGGAGGAAGCACUGCCAAGACAAAUUUACCAGGCUUGCAGCAAACUGCAUUCCUUGUAACUCCUCUCUUCUCCCCAAGAAAGUAAAUACCGGCAUGGCUGCUGCAACUUUCAGGCUCAAAGUACGUAAAUUAUCAAUUGAUUCACAGAAUAGAACAUCCUCAGCUGUUUUUAAUCAACACAACACCUUUGUUUUCUAGCCAGAGAGGCCAGUGUGUUUAUUCCCCCCUCCCUCCAUUUCAGUAUAAGCAGAGUGCUCAGUACCUGGCAGGACCAAGCACUUGUUAAGCUGCUGGAGUUCAUUUACAUUAAGAUUUUCUAUAUAGUGCUUUGAAAAAGGGACCGGGCAGAAAGUACAGUGACUUAUAAUCCUGAUGAACAAUGGGCAUUUCUGUGAACUGGCUUUCUACACAGGAUGUGGGGUGGGCCUUCUUGAGCUUGUGUAAUCAGUCUGGAAGUCCGAAAACCACACUCUGAAAACAUGCUUUUCCUUGAACAAAUACUCACACAGUCUAGCAGCAGUUUACAUGGCUGUCAUUCAGCAGUAAGGAAUAUUUUCAUUUAAAAAUAUGUGAAAAAAAAUCUCAGUAUCUGAAACGAGGUACAUGGACCUUAGUUGUAUCUAAUUAAAACAUAUAGCCCUUUUUAUCCAAACAAGAACUUCAUUUAGGAAUGGAAGCAUUAGUUCUGCUUACUGAAAAUGGUGUGAGGACUGCAUUUCAAGCAGAGCUUUACAUACUAGCUCAUGUUUUAGGAUCACCUGAGCCCAGAAAUGACAACUCAAAGGGCAGUGGCAACACUUAGGUUCAAAACACUGGGAAACACAGAUUAUCCUAUGAAACAGUCUCUUUUGGAAGCUGAAUGUAAGAUACUACAUUGAGAAAUCUAGGCGGUCCUCUAAUCCAAAUCCUGCAUUAACUCUUUCACUUCCUCGAAGGUGCACCAGAACACAGUCCACCACAAUAAACAGUUUGCUGUACAAGGACUGGAGCAAGUACAGCAAAGGUUAAAACAUGGGAGAGGAAGGAUUCUUCUUCCAGAGCUCACACCUUGCACUGGGGUAAAAAGACAACACCAGACUUUCUUUCUGUAGGAAAUCAGAAAUAAUGGAGUUUAAGAUUGAACAACUGGAAGAAAAUCAAUACAACUCCAGCGUAUUGGAACAACUUCUUGCACAUUAACAGGUUCCAUGUGAUGAGGGAAAAGCAAAGCUUUCCCCCACCUCUGUACGUUAAUUAGAGUUAGCAUACUGUGUUCUUUUAGGCAAAUUACGAAGUGACAGCUAUUCAGCAAUAUUAGACACAGCACUUCCUACCACACCCUACAAUAUUUUUGCAAUUAUCACACACUUUGAGUCAGAAACUAUUACACUCUAUGUAUAACUGUUUGGCUUCUGUCUCUGAGCAGCCCUUGUCUGGGCACACAGGCUACACAAAACCAGCUCCGGUGGCUACACAGGAAAGCUGUAAGAAAAUCCCCACAGCCCAACAGGAAGUGUCAUUUCUGUGAUUCACCAGAUUGCAUCUCUUCCUGAGAGUGCACCAACCAGCAUAAGCAGCACAGCAGUAGCUACAUGAAAAAGUCCUUUUCCUGUUUGUGCUGAAGAGCCCGUGACCAUUUCACUUUGGUGUGACCGAGUCCAUCUCCCUCAUCAAACGCCACUAUGUAUUCCUCUACUACUUCAGGCACUUUCAGUUAGGGCAGCGUAGGGAGAAAAGGACAAAAGAGCUGCAAAAGGCAUUUUGCUUCAGAAUUAGCAGUGUCAGAUGAGCAGAGAAAACACUUUCCUGUCAGGAUGUACUGUUUUUUGAUCCUUUUACUUGGAAAAAAAAAGAAUCUCUAAUAUGCUCAUACCGCAGUCCACCACUUUGGUGGAAGCAAAGCAACACAUCGCAGUGAGUGCAUACAGCCCAAUGCACUGGAAGGAAACUGCACAUUACAGUGAUUGGACCAGAAGGAUUACCAGCCAUUUUCUUGCCAAAAUAACAAUUCAAAAAACCUAAGAGUUUUGUUAACAUCACAAGCCACAAAACAGAAUUGAAUUCCAUUCUGCUCCCUACCGUUCCCAUCUGGUUCUAAUUUGCUAGAGAAGACCGAAGACUGUAUUCAAAAAGCGUCAGACUGAGCUGUAAACAUCAGCUUCUCUGCCAGCAUUAGGAGUAACUUGUGAAGUACUGGAGCUACCACGGAAAGGAGUGGGGGAUGAAGCAAGACUUGCUCUGUCAUUAAGCCCAUUGUUUUAAUUGCAUUGUUUCGACCCAUGAAAUGAAAGUGAGAAAUGUUUGAUGCUCAGAAGAAACAUUUGCAGAAAAUCAAGUUCAGCUCAUCUCUAUUGUAACUCUACAAAAUGAAACAGUAAGAAGUUGAGAAGCAUCAGAACAGGCUGCCUGAACAACCAGACCUCUUGUUUAACAAAGUCUGUAAUUAUAGGCCACAUGCUGUUGCCUAAUUUUUUCCUUGUCAAGUUGUAAACAAAGGACAAAGCCUGCUUCAUAUUUGCUGUAGAAAUAGUUUUGUUAAAUUGUGACAAGCUAAUGAGUCUACAGCUAAUAGCAUCUUGCGGUAAAUGUUUAACAAUAUGCCUUUGAGAUUUUGCCCCCUAUCUGUGCCUUAGAUUUCCAAAAGGAUGAAAUUCCUGAAGCCUUUUUCAUUAAUAACUUGUGAUUAGUUUCUCGUUACUUAAGCCCUUGAUGUGAGGCACUGAUGUGACGUGUGAAAACCCACUUACACUGUUGGAAUAGAAGUGAAUAAAAUAAUUGUUUCUGUAGCAACAUGGGCUUGGAAGGUUUAUGUUCUACAACAUACAACAGCUCCCUUCUAUUUUGAAGGAUCGUAGUCGGGUCUGCACUGGGCCCUGUCUCAAAAACUGAGGUGUGGGAAAGAGUGCUCUACUGACUGAGCAGAGCGGUCUCCUGCUCAGAGCGCGCGCUCAGCAUCCAUCAACACAACUGCAGCGAUGGAGCACCGAGCUUUGAUGUCAGAACAGUAAUCUACAGGAGCAGAGAAGAGCAGCUUAGGUAACACCAUAAACCAGUAUUGCCUCCCACAUCCACAACAUGUCCUGACACCCCACUUCCCAGUUGGAGCUCAUUAAGAGAGCUGGCAGCAUCCCAGCACCAAGCCAAGCCUGCAGUCACCAUCAGCUCGGUCCUACUGCUAUCGCUCCACACUUUGUUGUACCGACACAGACUUCUUUCCUCCAUCUAGCAUCACUCCAUGACGCCUCCAGUCUCAAGGCCAAGCAAACAAUCCCAUCAAGCACCUUAGUGAUCUUUUGCCAAUUCUGUGGUUCCAGGCCCAGAGUUCUGCACUGACUUCUUGAUGCCAUUAGAUGACAACCAUUUCAUUUCAGCAGGUCCCCACACAGGACUCACUUUUCACUCACAGUUGCUGAAGGUAGUUCUUCACAAACAACCCCUCUACUUCCAGAUUAGCUCUGUUCAAAAUCAUCAACUCACCAAUUCCUUCCCUUAUUAAUGCAGUCCUUCACCCUUAUUUGUUAUGCGUAUAUGUGAACCCACCACUUAGUUUCCUGCUUAUUAUUGUUGACCUUCCAUCAAAAAGCUCCUUUGAACCAAGUGGCUUCUUUUCUUGCCUAAACAUUACUGCAAUUAGAGGCGAUUAACAGCAGCAGCACACACUCAUACAUUCAGCUUAGAGUAGCCUUGAGCGCGCAUUAUAUGAAGAAUUCACUCAAGUCUCUUCUAGAUCUAGUUAAUGCUAUUCCCAGCCUGCAAGAGAUACGUGUGAAAAGGCUUUGUUACACAUGGCUAAGUUGCAUCUAUUUCAUACAGCUGAGGUAUGUAUAAUCUGACCAGCAUCAAGAAUUGUGAAAGGCUCAUUUUGAAACAAAAGCUUCUUAAACCCCACCCACUACUUAGAUACACUCCUUUCCCAUGAAAGGAUCACAGCCUGGAAAACAUUCGGUAAGCUCUCACAAGCAAGAGCCUUUAUUCUACAGCAUGUAAACAAGAAUGGAGCAUGAUUUCCCCUGCUCGGAUUCUACUGCCUUUGAGAACAAAACGCAGCACCUGUAACUUCAUCAUUAAGAUUUCUGGGAAGCUAAAAAGCUGAGAACAUGGGUAGUGUUACCAGUUCCACUUACAUACAGACCUUUCAGUACCCACAGACUCGCAUGCAGUAGCAGAUCCUACAGCUUAAAAGGAACAUAUGUUGACUUAAGUUACUGUCCUUCAGGUGAUUUAUUUACUGCUGUAGCACAUGCACUGUUCAAUGUUUCCUUUAUAUCUUUUCAAUAGUGGUAGUCAAUACUCGCAUCACACUUCAUAGGUGUUCACACAGUUGCUACCUUAUUACUAACUUCUUAUAACAUUACCAUAAAGACAUUAAAACUACUUUGCACAAACUGCAAACUAAAAUCACAAGCCUGUAGAAAGCAUUCAAUUAGCAACAAACUUCUUGGUUUUCAUGCACAAUUUAGGAAUUUAUCUGAGCAAAGCAGAACGGCUCAAGAAUCUCAGUAGCCAAGUGACCACAGCGCUGUGCCUCUUUAACACUGAAUUAGCAUGAAUCAGACACCGGAGGAUUAAGGCUUUACUGUCUGUGCCUAAGCAGUGAUGCAACAGGCUGUAAGUCUUUCUGGAAGCAGACAUUUUUCUCCUGAAGUUCAACAUUUUCUCAGUCUGUAUCCUCUUCUCAUAGCUAAAGCAGCUAAUGCUAGCAUUAUUACGUUUUUACUUCAGCAGAAAGAAUUACAGCCAGCAGCUGAGAUCUAUCCAGUUUUCACAACCAAACUUUAAGUGAAACAAAACCCCAAAUGAAACUGCAAACCAACACCCGCAAAUAGAGCAUGACCACCACUGCUACGUAAGAGGAAAGUACACCGUGCAAAAUACACCUAACACUGAAAUGAAAGAUCCCUUAUAUCCACUAGUGACAGUCAGAAGCUGCAGGAGGAGCAUGCUAGGACAAGCCUCCUGCUUCCAGCUAUGCUCCACACACGGGGACUCUUCUCCAUGCCAAAGCUACUAUCUAUCUGCCUCUUGCCCAAGUGAUUCCAGGCCACUUCUGCACACAUUCUGCAGCACCAAGAAGCUUCACACCUUAGGUGGAUUGCUGCAGAUCGAUUUGUCAGGAAGAGAGAUUAUUUAUAUCAAGGGUACAUACACUUUGACUGCAAAUGCGAGAUCAACACAAUACCCCAGACUCUUCUCUCCCCACUUUUAACACCCAUGUACCACUGCCAAUAAACGUAUGCAGCAAGAGAACUGUCGUUAUGCUAUUUUACUUUUCAAAACAGCAACUACAGACAGAGGAUAUGUUUUCUUUUGUUUUAAAUUUCUCCCUUAGGAGAAAACCAGAGGGGCUACCAUGGACUUCCUCAUACUGCUAUGGCUCAAGCUGGCAAUUAAGAUUUGUAUGGUUGUUGGUGGAGGCUUUUUUGUUUGUGUGCUGUUUUUUUAAGUAGGGAAGCAGUUUGACAUUGCAGAGACUAAACAGGCGCUGCUACCUGUACCUAUAAAUCGCUCCUACGUGUACAAGUAAUUUGUAACUAUGGAUGAGAAGCAGCAGCUGACAGACACUAAUGGCUGUUACCUACAUACAUUCACACUACACUAAGGGGUACUAUGACACUCUGUUUCACUGAUUUCUCACGUUGCUCAGGCCUGUGCACAGCAUCAAAGUUCCAAAGACGGCAAUCAGAGAAGUAGAUCUAGUUAUGAGUUGUAAUAACCACACUUUGGAGAAGCCACGUAUAACUCUCAGAUAAGCUGCAUUCUAAUAUUAGUUGAGAAGUGCAAUGCCUUUGCAUUCCUGGAAAAGAAAAUAGGUAGAGUGCUGCAGUGUAACUGCUAUGCUGUCCUACUCCUUCCACAACAGGUGAGGACAGACUGGCAUCAUUCUUCAGCUGGAACUGAUAAAGCAGCUGCGGGUUGCGUUUUUCCUCCUUGUUCAAGGUAACUGAGAUUCUGGGGGAGGGGAAGACAGGAAACGAGCACUUCUCCUGGUCCCCAAACCUAAGAAUAGCUGAGAUGGCAGUGCUGCAAGAUUUAGGCCACACAAGCAUUCAGAGAAGCAUGAAAUAUUUACACUCCGGGCAAACAAUCACAGAAGCCUUGCUUUUUGCCCAGAAUCUUUUUCUCAUUUUCCAAACAGAUCAGGAGGUUGUCCCAGGAAAGUUUACUUUCAGAGGGCAGAAAUGAGCUUGUUGUUAUAUUUUUAAACUACAGCUCUUUUUUUCUGUUCGUAUCUGAGAAGUCAGUUAAGCAGCAAGUACAGAUGACAGGACUCGGACUUGUGGAAUCAAGCACUGACUUUCACCUUUCAGGCACCUCUUGCACUGAAGGGAAAAAAAUCAGCAGUUUUAACAGUUUCUAUUCCACAUGGGAAGAGAAAGAAAACAAACACCUUUGUAUUUAUGCUGGGUACCACAUCCUAGAGAAAACUCAAAGUAAAUGCAAACAGUGUGAGUGAAAAAGACUGAAAAGAACACAUACAGUUUGCUGCCGCUGAACACAUUUUCCAUGACUUCUACCCAUAAGCAUAAGCUAAAUUCCUACAAACUGUGACUAGUAAAGAAAAAGUGACUGCUUAUAUCCUACAGACAAUUUUAGGUGAUGCAGAACAUGCACAAUAUUUCAGGGCUUACUUAGAGGCUUCAUCAUCCCAUCUCCAUGUAACAAGGCCACUGAUCUGGUUAGAACAUCUGCCAUUGCAAAAAGCUGGACAAAGUUGAGUUUGGUAUGAACAUCUAGCUUCAAAACAGCACUCAAAGUAAAACACAGAUACAACUCAACACCUCUUUUUGUUUACUCUUGGCCAAUCUUCCUCCUUUCCAUUCAGCUGGUUUCCAGGCUUAUGUACUUCACACUAUCCAUUCACUGCACAGGAAAUAUGCAAGCUGAUUUUGCAUUAGUCUGGCUGACAAGUGGGAAUUUGGAUGUAAAAUUGCAGCUCUUUGACGAACUUAAGUCUCCAGCAUGGUUACUUUCCUUUGAUGUUUAGAAAUAACUCACACUAUCAUUCAAAUGCCAACAAAACUAUCUUAAGUUUUGAAAUUAAGAGCCCUUAAACUUGAGCUUAAGUAGAUCUUAUGUGCUAACCCCAUGGCACAGCGAAGCACACCUAGCUGCACCCACGCAGAAAACUAGGGAAGGAAACCAUCAAUAAACAUUCUCCUCACCUCAUGGAAAGAGGGCUUCAAGUUGCCCACUACCCCCAGAGCAUACUUAAAUUGCCUAUAUAGGCAGGAAACCAAGGUAUUCCACCUGGCAGAUUAAGUGCUAGAAAUCCAUGACAGUUCAGAUAUGAGCUCCCAGAAGAAAGGAAAUUAUAGCUAAAAACAACCCCACUCUAUGUUUCCCUUCACAAGCUCCCUAAGAUGAAUGGAAGAAACAAAAAAACAAAAAAACUACCCAUGCUUUCCUAUUACACAACAACCAGCAAUCAUGUGAUGCACAAUGCAGCACAAGUGUUUGAAAUAGGGAUGUUUUCCAUACAGAGAAGAUUCUCCUCCAAACUUUCAGUCAUUUAAAACUCUGCACUUGCAUACAAUACCUCUGUUCUAAUCAAUUCUACAAUUGACUCUAGACAUAGCCUGAAGGUACUUAAAAGUUGUAUGCUGUUCAAGAAGUACAGGUUAGGCCUGCUCAUUUUCUGCCCAAUACAGACAAAUUUCACUCAGGUGCUCUUUUUUGUUGUUUGUUUUUUAAAAACACCUCCAGUUAGCACUGGGAAUACACUCUUUGCUUCAACCCAUCUCUACUUUUACUCUUUCCUCUAAACAGAUGCCUUAACCUGUAGAAGCCUUCACUCACCAUCCUCCCUUCGGUAGUCUGUAAAUAUUUGUAAGCACGGCCAUCCACAUGUAUUGAUAUGCUGGCUUUUGACCCUUUCAUCUUUCAUGCACUGAAGAACAGUUUGUUUAACCAGAUUUAAUGGAUACCUGACAUUUUUAAAGUCUGCUUGCAAGAGAAUGCAUUUCAUCCUUUCUUUCCUGCAAAAGACAAGAAGGCCAGGAGUCUCCUCUGAACAGGGAAUAUUCCACAUCAAGGGAGCUUGUAACAAAUAACACAAGUCAGACAUGUUCUUGCUUAACUGAACUGUCAAAAAAACCUAAGUCUCAAUGCUCGCAUGUUAAACAAAUGUAAAGGAAAAACAACUGAGUUCAACAAAGCAUCUCAUUAUUUAUCGUAUGACAAGUAGAGCAAGAUUCCAUCUUAAGAGCUACAGUAAAAGAGUUUCUGAACAGUUGUAAAACCUCUUAUUUGCUCCAAGGCCAAGUGGGCACAUCCAAAAAUCAGACUCAAUGUAGGGUUUUAGAAAGGUGCAGAAACAGAAAAAUCUACUGGACUUUUCAACAACCAGUCCAGGUUUGUUUGUUUUUUAACUCUGAUAGUCUGUAUGGAGUGGAGAACACCACUGAACAGACUGAUGACCCAGAAGGGCAGGAAGCAUCAACUCCAGAACAGUAUUUUUACAUCAUACUGGGGAAAAAAAAAGAAAAAGCGACUUAUUUUAAACUGUUAUUUCAUACAACCUUUAAAGGCUUUGAAUUUUAAAUACAGAACAGCUUCUGAACAGCUGUGAAGCUGAAAUAUCUAAGUUUGCAAGAUGCUAUUUCUAGGAAGAUGCAACAGAUGUUUUGUACUUGUUCAUAUGUACAUCCUAUUCUAAACAGGAUGUGGAAUUUACUUGUAAUGAGCACAAUCAGUGUAUAAUUGCUGUUCAACGCUAUUCAAGCAAAAAGGAGAAGCAUAAGACACUUCCUGUCAAAUACACAGGCUGCCUAUUGGACAAAUCCAUGCAUUAUGCAGCACUUAAAGACAAGCAGAAGUACCUUCCAGCAAGUCACAUCUAGAUAGGAGCAGCUACAGACAGUUUGAUCUCUGCUUACUUUGUGCUGUGCUACUUACAAAAUAUACUGUAAGGAUGUGAGCAUUAGUCAAGUGGAAAGUUUGCGAUGUAGGCCUAUAGUUCUGAUCAGACUAGGUAGCAGAGCCAUUAAAGUGAACAGAACAGGCCCUGAGUGCUGCCUGAAUAUUCUCACUAACUUACUAAAGUGGGUAGAGCUGCUGGAACAUUGUUGCAGUAUCACUGCAUUACUAAAAUUAAGAUAUGUUUAAGUAAAGUGACGUAAGCAGGAGAAAGUGUCAUACUCCCCAAACGAUCACCUUGCUUUGCUAACUGUAGGAUGGGGUUAUGACAGCUUUAACAAAAAGCUCUCCAAGUACGUUCUAGCAUUUGGCCUAGAAGGCAAAAUCUGGAUAACCAACACCAAGAAGAACAGCAGAUAACUACUCCUAUUUACUUGAACAGGAUUACCAAGGAGUUAUGCUACUGAAUUAAAAGAUAAACCAACGUAGCUAACAGCUGCUUGCAAGACCAAUAGUACUUGCAGCACAAUAGCCGGGGGGAAAUGGUAGAAGAGCAGCUUGCCUGUUCCAGAAAAAAUAGUGAAACAGAAAUACGCACAGUCAACUCUGAGAAAUAGUGCAGGCUUAACUACAGCCUUCAGGACACAGUCCUAAUAAUACCUUGUGACAACCAUUCCCUCCCAUUAAUUAGGUCUACACUACCAACUGUAGUUUUAGGAGUCACCUGAUGAAAAAGCUCUAAGACAUGUAGAAUUCAGUAGGUUGAAUUUGCUCUCUAUAAUCCAUCUGACAGCAGCAUGUUUUUUUCUUCUUGUUCAUAGUACUUAGCCUCAUCUGAAAUAUUCCUGCUCACCAAAUUUAAAAGAAAGAAAACAAUCUAAAUGCUUCCUUUAUAUUCCCUAUUUUUGCCCCAAACAACAUACUAUAUAUACACCCUGAAAAAGUCCUCCAAUUUCAGGAGUCCCUCAGUGCUACAGCAAGAAUGCUGCACACCUACAUUCAGUGUUUAUAUUUAAAGUUUAGCCUUAAGUAGAUGAUCUGGGAAAGAGAAGAAAAACCUUGAAAAACUAUUUUACUUGCAUAUAAAACCCACCUGCAUUUUUAUGCAAUUUUCAAGUCAAUGGAAAUUUAAGGGUAUGACAUGGUAGUAUUACAGAAUUACAGUAAUAGUUUUCACAAGUCAGCAGCAGGCUAAGAAAACCUGCUAUGUCCCAGACUCAUCACAAGAGGUACCACCAAAAACAUUCCUGCAUUUUUAAGCACAGCAAAGCAGGUGAUUCAACAACCCAAUUUCUUCCUCUUCACAUUUGGUUACUCUGUCAGGUACCACAAAUCCAUCUCUUGCUACAGGUACGUGAAGUCAAGAACUCAAAGGCCCACUGCCACUACCUCUUCGUUACGGUCAUUUCCCCUCCCCAGAAGAAAUCAGCACAGAUUCAAAUGUAUUAUCUCUUCUAAAGAGGAGACACUUCAAGUUCAAAAACUGCUGUCAGUUGAGCGCAGACACCGUGGCUCCUAGAUGAAGUAUAUUCUUUCCUAUGCUUGUGCAGAGACAGUAGACAGAAGUGUUUCUCAGAAGCAGUUUAAAAAUAGGAUCUCACAACUGCCCAGCAUGCCUUUAUAAGCUUACGAUAUGCCUGCUCCAGUGUAUGAGCACUGAGAUGAUGGCACGCAGCUCUGGAGACAAAUUCAGUGUGCAGUACUACCUUGACAAAAGCAACAGUUUCAUUUCAUCAAAAAGCAGCCUUCGAAAUCAGUACAGGGGUAGUAACAGUAUUAAAAAACAUGCUCUCAAUAAGUCUUUUAAUUAGAAGGCCCGUUGUUUUUCCUGGAGGGACACCUCCUGUCUCAGAUAAGACAGCAGUACAAACAUUACAGCCCAAAAUGGAGCAGCACAACUACCCCAGUUCAGCACUUAGAAGAGAAUUAUCCUGGUAGAAGACCGGACCAAAGCUACAGCUUAGGUUACACUAACAGCAGCACAACUAUAAAUCUCCAGUUCAUUUUUCACUUAAAUUUAGGGAACCACAUGACAGUGAUCUAAUCGGGGAGGGCAGAAACAUGGGAGGCAGGAACAAGACAGAACUAGAUGUCAAGUACUUAUUUUCCACACAGCUCUUCCCUCUUCUUGUGUCCCCCCCACUAGUUUUGACAGUGACACCCCAGAUUGGCCACACAAGUUAGCCUUGGACUCGUAAGGGUUUGGUAUAUUGCAAGUGUAUUAGCAUUGCACCCAGUGGCUACCAAAGACCUGAACACGACAACCAACCAAGAAGAAGUACAUAUACUAAUCAUUGUACAAAGAAUUGUACAAAGCUUCACCAACACAAUGUUUCAUUAGUUGUCAACCUACUGAGGUUAGCAAGAAGGAAACAUGAUUGUAGCCAGUCAGAAAGCUUCCCACUCUGAAUACAGCAGUUAGACAUCCUAAUUGUGUACUUUUGAAUAGGCCACACUGACCAGGACUACAGCAGUCUUCUGAAGUUAAUCCUUUCUAGAAACAUUAAGUAAUGCUGCAUUGCAGCUGCACUUUACUGUUGAAAAAGGAAUGCUGCAUAUUUGUACAUCAUUAACAAGCUGUCAAACAGUGCUUCCACGCUUGACCACAAGAGAACCCUUACUACUCCUUCUGAGUCAACUAAAGCUUAUCCUAACACAAACCCUCAAGUUGCACGCAAAGGAUGCUCCUGUCCUGCUGCUCUUCAAACAGUCCUUCCAAAUCCAGGUGGAAAUAUCUGUUGACACUGAUUGGUUUCUGCUCAGUAGAAAGUCACUGGACGUGCAAGCAACACAUACUAAUUUGACAAGAGACCAUUGUGACCCACUGAGAUGACAAGUUUUUUUUUAAAGAUUAGCUUAGAACUCUUCCAGUACAACUAAUUCUUCACCAAGCGGUUCAGUUAUUACAUUACCAAUCACUUCAGGAGCAAGAAAGCCUCCCUCAAGUUCCAUGCUGUUCCAAUGAAAUAAGCUCAUUAAGUUCAAAAGUCCUGUGAACUCUUAACUGGAAUUCUGUUCUUUCCCAGCUUUAGCCGGAACAUUUUUGUAGGUUAUCCUAUCAAUGCAUCUGAAAUGACCCUGCCACCUGCUGUUCCUACAACUGUAGGUCAACCUAGUAAUACCUUACAUACAUUUUUAAAAAAAAUAUGCCCAACUCCUUAAGCAAGGAUUAUAGUGAUUCUGACUCUAAAACUGCCGUUAGGAUUUGCCACUUCGAUUCCUUAAGAAUUGCCUCUUUAAUAAGGGAAAAAAAAAAAACCAAACAGGUAAAACUUGCACAUCUCCAUUCUUUCUCCCUGCAGCUGCUUCUUCCUAUUCCUGUUCAAGCAGGACUGUUUGUGAAGCCAUGCAGCCAACCUUCACGUUAAAAAAUGAUCCAUUCUAAUCAG
ensembl:lncRNA